CCUAACAAAAUUGUUUUAUGGGAUAGAGUGAAACACAUUUUGUUGAUACUAGUUUCACUGUCAGCACCACUGACUGACUGGCUAGCGCUUAGCUAGCUAACGUUAUAUCAUAUUUUUUGCAUAAUUCAUGCGAUAGCUAACUAAUGGUACAUUGCUGUCUUUUAAUACCAAUGCGCAUGCCAAUAUGCUAGUGUCACGGUUCAAUCGCAUGUUCGCUUGCACAACAGCUAAGAGGUCAAGGCCUCUUUUCUUCCAAAGUUUGAGGCAGAAGAGAUGAACCAGGAAACACCCUUGCAUCUGGACGACUCGACUAUAGCCUGAAGUUAAAGGAGAACAUAAAAGCCUUACACACAAUACACAAGGUGACAUCGCUUUAAGACUUCUGCCAGUGGUCCUCCCAACACCAGUCUACAAGAUAGGCAGGAAGUAAUUCCGACCCAUCUUCAAUGAGACCAGAAAGUCCAUUGACUUGCAGCCUGUACAUUUAAAUAGUGGAUAGGCACAGUGAGGAAUGAUGGGGAUAUUAGAUCAUGGUAAACAGUAUUUUGUAAACAUUGAAUGAAAGGAAUAGAUUUCAUAAAUCUGUUAUGCAUAACUGCACACUUCAAGACAUUAGGUAGGUUUCCAUCCAAUUUGCGACAGAUUUUCAUGCAAAUAUUCUAAAAUCUGCAUAAAACAAUAUGUGCAUUUUCCCACCAGAGAUGAGACUUUCUGCAGAGAAAAGGCUGUGCAUGAUGAAGUAGUGCACAUACACUUCGAUAUGAUGGUUAUUAUAUCAAUAUUUUCGGAAUAAAAUGAGUUUCUCCCGCCAUUUAUCAUAUAAUUACUUUUAACGACACAAAGAUUCCACCAUGUCGAACAAACAAAUUGUCUGUAGGCAUUUAUACAAUUGUAACGGCAUUUCAUGUUUCCAUCAGCCCGGUCAUGACUUUUUUUCACUGCUUGGGGGCACUGGAUGUGUGCUUCAAGUCCUAUUAUGUGUUUGAUAUUAACUUUCCCACUGUGCCCCAGCAUGGGAAUCUCUACAGGCCACGCUGUAUCAGUUGCAAGGAACAGAAUCCCCUGCAGUAAGACUGUCGCGAGCAUGUCUCUUUUUUUCCCACUGAACAGUAGUGGUAUCUGCUCUUGUAUGUACACGAGUGUGAGAAGUGACAGGAGGAAGCACAGCCCUUCGGCUGACGUGUUCCUGUGAAUUAAUAGAUCAAUGGAUGGAUGAACCACGAGUGUCUCAUUCCAAUGCUAAUAUGCAUUUAAGGCACUAUUUAUAGCUUUGUUAAGUUGACUUGUGUUUUUAUUCUUUCCAUUUGUGCUUGCUUUUUGCCUACAGUAACGGUAUGUGGCUAGUUUGCCUUUAGUUCAACUACUGAAGCUCGUUCUGGCACUCUAUCACAAUUCCUUUUAAAUACAAAUCUUUUGUGGAUUGUGAAAGGUGCUUUAUGAAUGAAGUAGAGUCAUUGGUCCAUGUCUUUUUAAUAGAGUGACAUUCAAAUGUAAUAUUUUACACUUGUCCUGUAUAACAAUGUUUGAACUUGACCCAUGUAGACCAUUUAUUGUGUGUCAAAACAGCGUGGUGUGAUGUCACCUAAGAUAACCGAAGUGUGUCAGGGAAUGUGAAUAUUGAUUGAUUAGCUCUAUCACUGUCUAAUAGACAGAUCUGUGUUAAUACCACUGAAGACAGUGUCACACACAUGCUUUGUUUUUCUCAGAUUACAUUAUGAGUGUGCGCACCAAUUUCAACUGGGGCUUUAGUCUGUUUGGUUCAUGAAAUAAUAUAAAUACAUUCUAAUCAAUCCUAUCUUGUGAAAAAAUACAUAUUUAGACUUUGUUUCAAUGUGCUAUUUAAAAUGUAUAUGUUCUUGUAUUUUCUCUGACGUGAGGUAUAUUCUGAAAUGCUGUCACGACUUCCGCAAUGUCGGUUCCUCUCCUUGUUCCGACGGCACUCGGCGUCGCCGGUCUUCUAGCCAUCAUCGAUCCACUUUUCAUUUCUUUUGUUUUGUCUGGUCUUCCCACACACCUGGUCUCAAUUCCCUCAUUACAUGUUGUGCAUUUAACCCUCUGUUCCCCCCAUGUCUUUGUGCGGAAUUGUUUAUUGUAAGUGCAUGUGUACGUUUUCUCUGGUGCGCAACGGGUUUUGUACCUAUUUGUUUGUUCUGGUUUCCGGUGGUUUUAUGAAUAAAACUGCUCUGUUGAUUACCCA